CCCUUAGAUGUCCUGGGCCGCACGCGCGUUACACUGAUGCAUUCAACGAGCUUAUAACCUUGGCCGAGAGGCCUGGGCAAUCUUGUUAACGUGCAUCGUGAUAGGGAUAGAUUAUUGAAAUUAUUAAUCUUGAACGAGGAAUUCCUAGUAAACGCAGAUCAUCAAUCUGCAUUGAUUACGUCCCUGCCCUUUGUACACACCGCCCGUCGCUCCUACCGAUUGAAUGGUCCGGUGAAGUGUUCGGAUCGCGCCGACGUGGGCGGUUCGCCGCCGGCGACGUCGCGAGAAGUCCACUGAACCUUAUCAUUUAGAGGAAGGAGAAGUCGUAACA
rnacentral:rRNA from 1 species